ACAUACUAAGAACUUUCCAGAGAUGGAUUGGUGCCUUCGGGAACUUAGAUACAGGUGCUGCAUGGCUGUCGUCAGCUCGUGUCGUGAGAUGUUGGGUUAAGUCCCGNAACGAGCGCAACCCUUUUCCUUAUUUGCCAGCGGGUCAUGCCGGGAACUUUAAGGAUACUGCCAGUGACAAACUGGAGGAAGGCGGGGACGACGUCAAGUCAUCAUGGCCCUUACGGCCAGGGCUACACACGUGCUACAAUGGUCGGUACAAAGGGUUGCUACCUCGCGAGAGGAUGCUAAUCUCAAAAAGCCAAUCGUAGUCCGGAUCGCAGUCUGCAACUCGACUGCGUGAAGUCGGAAUCGCUAGUAAUCGCGGAUCAGAAUGCCGCGGUGAAUACGUUCCCGGGCCUUGUACACACCGCCCGUCACACCAUGGGAGUUUGUUGCACCAGAAGUAGGUAGUCUAACCGCAAGGAGGACGCUUACCACGGUGUGGCCGAUGACUGGGGUGAAGUCGUAACAAGGUAGGCGUAGAUGA
rnacentral:rRNA from 1 species